rnacentral:rRNA from 1 species
UUUUACCUACGGGGGGCAGCAGUGAGGAAUAUUGGUCAAUGGACGAGAGUCUGAACCAGCCAAGUAGCGUGAAGGAUGACUGCCCUAUGGGUUGUAAACUUCUUUUAUAAAGGAAUAAAACGAGGCACGUGUGCCUUUUUGCAUGUACUUUAUGAAUAAGGAUCGGCUAACUCCGUGCCAGCAGCCGCGUUAAUACGGAGGAUGCGAGCGUUAUCCGGAUUUAUUGGGUUUAAAGGGUGCGCAGGCGGAGGUGCAAGUCAGUGGUCAAAUUGCGGGGCUCAACCCCGUACUGCCGUUGAAACUGC